rnacentral:rRNA from 1 species
CGAUAGCCCAUUACCCCCACUAUCCGCCCGGGGACUACGAGCAUUAGCUUAAAACCCAAAGGACUUGGCGGUGCUUAAAAUCCACCUAGAGGAGCCUGUUCUAGAACCGAUAACCCCCGUUCAACCUCACCCUCCCUUGUUCCCCCCGCCUAUAUACCGCCGUCGUCAGCUUACCCUAUGAAGGCCCAAUAGUAAGCAAAAUUGGCAUAACCUAAAACGUCAGGUCGAGGUGUAGCGCAUGAGAGGGAAAGAAAUGGGCUACAUUCCCUAGUAUAGUGAAUACGGAUAAUGAACUGAAACAUUCAUUUGAAGGAGGAUUUAGCAGUAAGCAGAAAAUAGAGCGUCCUGCUGAAACCGGCCCUAAAGCGCGCACACACCGCCCGUCACUCUCCCCAAGCUAUUAAUUACACAUUUCUAAUAUCCUAUAACUGCAAAGGGGAGGCAAGUCGUAACAUGGUAAGUGUACCGGAAGGUGCACUUGGAAAAAU